rfam:Camelus ferus unplaced genomic scaffold scaffold678, whole genome shotgun sequence.
GGAGGUAUAGCUCAGUGGUAGAGUGUGUGCCCAGCAAGCACAAGGUCCUGUGUUCAAUCCCCAGUACCUCCA